AUGCUCGAUUGGUGGUGCUCUCCCUCCUCCUCGGCCGUGUGGACGGCGUGGCGGCGGGCGUUGGGCGCAGGUUGCACUCUCCUCUUCUUCUCAUCCUCUCCCCCCAUCAGACCUGGCCCCUGGCGGCCGCUGGUCGCCGGAUCCACUGUCGACGGGGCUGCUGGAGGGGUGGUAGCGGACCGGGAGAAAUCCCUGGCUGGAUUCCCGGCCACGACGACGGCGACACCUCCUGGUGUCGUCUUCCUCCUUGGAGGCGCCGUCGAGGUGCGUUUACCCCCUUCCCUCCCACUCUCAUGCCCGGGUGAAAACUCUAGUCUCUUCAGGCUGGGCGGCAGCGGCGUUUCAUGCGUCGUCAUCUUCUUGAAGGUGCCGCCUUGGGUGAGUUGGGGGUGUGCAGGGGCGAUGGGUGUGGUGUCAAGUGUGUGGCGGCUUUGCAGGAGGAGUUGGCGCCAUGGUCUUCUUGUUGGGGCAAUGCUCUGCUAUUUGGUUGUUCGUUGCCUGUCUUGUGGCUGUUUGUUCGCUGGCUCUCAGUGCCAUGGCAUGGACAGGGUGAAGAUAGGGUUCUUUCCCCGUUGGCAGCAACAGGGCAUGGAAGGCUUGAACUUGGUGCUGAUUCCAGCGGGUGCUGUCCUGCUAUCUGCAUUGGCUGCCUUGGCUCCCCUGCUUGCAAGUUCUUCUUCAACCUCGCUCAACAGCAGCUUCUCUUCCUUGGGUGUGGAUUACUGUGUCUUGAAGAGACUCUUCGUUUGGUGUUCUUAG
rnacentral:rRNA from 1 species